AAUGCUCUUAACCACCGUGAGGAAUGUGAGCUGACACUUCCUUUGUCUGCCUUAAUAUGAGUGUACCACACUACCUCGCAGAAAGCUCAACAGCGUUGCAGCAGUCCUCAUUUAAUCUAGACGGUCGCAUGAAUGCUGUCACUUGGUUUAUGCCUCCCCCUGCUUUUUUAAAUAUCAGAAACAAUGGUUGUUUGUGUUGUGUGGACUGAUAUGAUUCCUUGCUUCAGACGCAUCACGUGACUGCAUUGAAACUAGUCUGAGUGAGCCCUCUAGUGGCUAAAAUCCAACUGACAGGAGAGGCACCGUGGCGUCUGACUUGUGAACCGUGGCCCAGGCGGGCAGGAAGCGCGUCAUGGCUCUAACUGGAACCAGAUGUCAGAGGCUGCUGGGGAUUCUCACAGUGGAACAUGCUCGUCAAAAGGAAACUUCUUCUUUCUCUCUCUUGCUCUCUGUUUCUUUCUCUCUUUCUAUGCAGCCAUCAAAGACCCUGCUUGUUUGGGUGCUGAUUGAUCAGUAGAAGAUGACAGUCACCACCACAUACAUGUUCAGCAGGAAGGAGAGAGAGAGAUAUUGUGAGAUUAG
rnacentral:lncRNA from 1 species